GACAGAGGUGGCGAGCGUUGUUCGGAUUUAUUGGGCGUAAAGCGCACGCAGGCGGUUUGGUAAGUCAGGGGUGAAAGCCCGCAGCUUAACUGCGGGAUUGCCUUUGAUACUGCCUUUCUUGAGUGCAUGAGGGGGUAGCGGAAUUCCGAGUGUAGAGGUGAAAUUCGUAGAUAUUCGGAGGAACACCGGUGGCGAAGGCGGCUUCCUGGCAUGUAACUGACGCUCAUGUGCGAAAGCGUGGGGAGCAAACAGGAUUAGAGACCCUGGUAGUCCACGCCCUGAACGAUGGGCACUAGGUGUGGGAGGUAUCGACCCCUUCCGUGCCGCAGCUAACGCAUUAAGUGCCUCGCCUGGGGAGUACGGCCGCAAGGUUGAAACUUAAAUGAAUUGACGG
rnacentral:rRNA from 1 species